rnacentral:rRNA from 1 species
AUUGAACGCUGGCGGCAUGCCUUACACAUGCAAGUCGAACGGCAGCGGGGGAGAAGCUUGCUUUUCCUGCCGGCGAGUGGCGAACGGGUGAGUAAUACAUCGGAACGUGCCCUGUAGUGGGGGAUAACUAGUCGAAAGAUUAGCUAAUACCGCAUACGACCUGAGGGUGAAAGUGGGGGACCGCAAGGCCUCAUGCUAUAGGAUCGGCCGAUGUCUGAUUAGCUAGUUGGUGGGGUAAAGGCCUACCAAGGCGACGAUCAGUAGCUGGUCUGGGAGGACGAUCAGCCACACUGGGACUGAGACACGGCCCAGACUCCUACGGGAGGCAGCAGUGGGGAAUUUUGGACAAUGGGCGAAAGCCUGAUCCAGCAAUGCCGCGUGUGUGAAGAAGGCCUUCGGGUUGUAAAGCACUUUUGUCCGGAAAGAAAUGGCUCUGGUUAAUACCUGGGGUCGAUGACGGUACCGGAAGAAUAAGGACCGGCUAACUACGUGCCAGCCGCCGCGGUAA